UGCUCCGGCAUUAAAUAUUCACCAACCGAGUGUGGGCUGAGAGUCCCUGGACACAACCUUUGUGCCUGAGGAGAGGACAGCCCAUUCCAGAGCUGAGAGAGAAGGAGGCAAACCUGCUUGUUCUCCCUCUUUCUGGGAGCAUUUCCUCUGUCCCUCCACUCCCUCCAGAGCUGGCCCCAGACCCAGCCCGGACAGGAGAAGCCGCCCUCUCCAUCCCAGGUGUUUCUAGGCGUGUCGCUGUCUCUCCUGGAGAGAGUUCUCCAUGGCUCCACCUCCCCUGGAGAGCCCUCCAUCCUCUAAAGCCAGAUCAUCACCACCUCCAAAACUCUAAUAUCUUUCUUAGCCACGCUUGAUUCUUCUCCAGGAAGGAGAAAAGAAGCGUCUCCUAGUAUGGCAUGGAGGGACCCACAGAAAAGCCAGGAGCCCACAGCAGACAUUGCACCAGGGCUCAUUGUUCACCUCUGGCACCUCUGGAGUGCAGGGAAGGGGCCCUUGUAAAGUCCAACUCUAUGGUCAAGAAAGCAAGGCUUUAGAGAUCUCUUCUCCCCCUGCAGCUGUGCAGUUCAGUGAGGCCCAGAUGUUGAACACAUGCAGGGGCUGGACCCAUGACUGCCCAUCACAAGGUUCCAGAAGCUUCUGGCUCAGCCUGUGUCUCUGAGGCUCCUGGACAGACAAGGGCUGCGAGGAGCUACCCUCUCUCUUCAGAGUGGAGUCCAGUGCCUGUCCAGGACAGGCUUCCAGACAGAGGAGGCUCAAGGGCCCCCUGUGAUGCCCGUCCCUGCCUCUCCACCCUGCCUGCCUCUGCCCUCCCUACUGCUGCCCCUGCUGCUGGGCUUACAGAAACUUCCUAUCUUCGGUGUCUGGACGGGGAAGGAAAGUGGCUGCUUGGAAAGGCCGAUGGUCCAAACAGUGGAUAUUGUCUCAUUACAGGGCUUAACUGGUAUUUUAUAAAUAAAUGACAAAAGUUCUAUUA